rnacentral:rRNA from 1 species
GAUGAACGCUAGCGGCAGGCCUAACACAUGCAAGUCGAGGGAGAAGCCCUUUCGGGGGCAGAAACCGGCGCACGGGUGCGUAACGCGUAUGCAACCUACCUUUCACAGGGGGAUAGCCCGAAGAAAUUUGGAUUAAUACCCCAUAAUACUAUUGGAUGGCAUCAUUUGAUAAUUAAAACUGCGGUGGUGAAAGAUGGGCAUGCGUCCUAUUAGCUAGUUGGAGUGGUAACGGCACCCCAAGGCUACGAUAGGUAGGGGUCCUGAGAGGGAGAUCCCCCACACUGGUACUGAGACAGGGACCAGACUCCUACGGGAGGCAGCAGUGAGGAAUAUUGGUCAAUGGUCGGAAGACUGAACCAGCCAUGCCGCGUGCAGGAAGAAUGCCUUAUGGGUUGUAAACUGCUUUUAUAUGGGAAGAAUAAGGCGUACGUGUACGUUGAUGACGGUACCAUAUGAAUAAGCAUCGGCUAACUCCGUG